ACGGGUGAGUAACGCGUGGGAACCUACCCUUAGCUUCGGAAUAACUGAGGGAAACUUGUGCUAAUGCCGGAUACGCCCUUACGGGGAAAGAUUUAUCGGCUAUGGAUGGGCCCGCGUCUGAUUAGCUAGUUGGUGAGGUAAUGGCUCACCAAGGCGACGAUCUUUAGCUGGUCUGAGAGGAUGAUCAGCCUCAUUGGGACUGAGACACGGCCCAAACUCCUACGGGAGGCAGCAGUGGGGAAUAUUGGACAAUGGGCGCAAGCCUGAUCCAGCCAUGCCGCGUGAAUGAUGAAGGCCUUAGGGUUGUAAAGUUCUUUUAACGGGGAAGAUAAUGACGGUACCCACAGAAUAAGCCCCGGCUAACUUCGUGCCAGCAGCCGCGGUAAUACGAAGGGGGCUAGCGUUGCUCGGAUUCACUGGGCGUAAAGCGCACGUAGGCGGACUCUUAAGUUAGAGGUGAAAUCCUGGAGCUCAACUCCAGAACUGCCUCUGAUACUGGGAACCUUGAGUUCGGAAGAGGUGAGUGGAACUGCUAGUGUAGAGGUGAAAUUCGUAGA
rnacentral:rRNA from 1 species